UUUCUAUCACUCCUGUGUUGAAGAUAAUUCUUCCCCAGUUGAGUUUGAUUCAUGUAGUUCAGUUUUGUUAUGAUUUACCUGUUUCCCCCGCGGAUUUUCCUUUUAUCCCCGACUGAGUCCUUCUGUUGAUUUAUUAUCAUGGAAUCCUCUUGUGUCCCCCAACAUUCAUUUUUUAAGUCGUAGUCUGGCCUACCUACAA
rnacentral:lncRNA from 1 species